rnacentral:rRNA from 1 species
CCCUUAGAUGUCCGGGGCCGCACGCGCGCUACACUGAAGGAAUCAGCGUUGCUUUCUCCCUGACCCGAAAGGGUUGGGAAACCCGUUGAAUCUCCUUCGUGAUAGGGAUUGGGGCUUGAAAUUGUUCCCCAUGAACGAGGAAUUCCCAGUAAGCGCGAGUCAUAAGCUCGCGUUGAUUACGUCCCUGCCCUUUGUACACACCGCCCGUCGCUACUACCGAUUGAACGGUUUAGUGAGGGCCUCGGAUUGGUCUCGGCCCGCUCUUUACCGGGCGGCGCCGUUGGUCGAGAAGACGCUCGAACUUGAUCGUUUAGAGGAAGUAAAAGUCGUAACA